GUGCUACUUUGGUAGCACAUAUAAUGAAAUUGGAAUUUUAGCCUAGAAAAAUUUUUCCUACAUGGCCCCUGCGCAAGGAUGACACGCAAAUUUAUAGUGUCUCUUUCUU